UACGUAGGGGGCAAGCGUUGUCCGGAAUCAUUGGGCGUAAAGAGCGUGUAGGCGGCCCGAUAAGUCCGCUGUGAAAGUCCAGGGCUCAACCCUGGAAUGCCGGUGGAUACUGUCGGGCUCGAAUCCGGAAGAGGUGAGUGGAAUUCCUGGUGUAGCGGUGAAAUGCGUAGAGAUGCGGAGGAACACCGAUGGCGAAGGCAGCCCCCUGGGCUAAGACUGACGCUGAGGCACGAAAGCGUGGGGAGCAAACAGG
rnacentral:rRNA from 1 species